rnacentral:rRNA from 1 species
UACAGAGGUCCCAAGCGUUGUUCGGAUUCAUUGGGCGUAAAGGGUGCGUAGGCGGGUCUUUUAAGUCAGGGGUGAAAUCCUGGAGCUCAACUCCAGAACUGCCUUUGAUACUGAAGAUCUUGAGUUCGGGAGAGGUGAGUGGAACUGCGAGUGUAGAGGUGAAAUUCGUAGAUAUUCGCAAGAACACCAGUGGCGAAGGCGGCUCACUGGCCCGAUACUGACACUGAGGAGCGAAAGCCAGGGGAGCAAACGGG